UACGUAGGUGGCGAGCGUUGUCCGGAAUGACUGGGCGUAAAGGGAGCGUAGGUUGCGAUUUAAGUUAGGUGUGAAAGCCCGUAGCUCAACUACGGAACUGCACUUAAAACUGGAUUGCUAGAGUACAGGAGGGGUAAGCGGAAUUCCUAGUGUAGCGGUAAAAUGCAUAGAUAUUAGGAAGAACACCGGAGGCGAAGGCGGCUUACUGGACUGCAACUGACACUGAGGCUCGAAAGCGUGGGGAGCAAACAGG
rnacentral:rRNA from 1 species